GGGCCUCUCAGAAACAGCAAGACCUUUCUGAAAAAUCUCCCCCUUCGUCAUUCGUUCUUGCUACUCGUUGAGCCUGAGCACUGACACGAUCUCCUCAUACAUCAGUGUCUCCUUUCCGUACAGCAGCAUCGUAACCAAUGGAUCAAAGCUCACGAGUAGUGAAUAUAAUAGCAACAGACUCUUUUCCUCCUCUUCGAGCUCCACCCCA
rnacentral:lncRNA from 1 species